CAUUAAGAAGCUAUGCAACAGCACUAGCCUUUUAAGCUAGAGAAAGAGAUCCACCAACAUCUCCUUAAU
rnacentral:tRNA from 1 species